GUGGGGAAUAUUGGACAAUGGGCGAAAGCCUGAUCCAGCCAUGUCGCGUGUGUGAAGAAGGUCUUCGGAUUGUAAAGCACUUUAAGUUGGGAGGAAGGGCAGUAAGUUAAUACCUUGCUGUUUUGACGUUACCGACAGAAUAAGCACCGGCUAACUUCGUGCCAGCAGCCGCGGUAAUACGAAGGGUGCAAGCGUUAAUCGGAAUUACUGGGCGUAAAGCGCGCGUAGGUGGUUCAGCAAGUUGAAGGUGAAAUCCCCGGGCUCAACCUGGGAACUGCCUCCAAAACUACUGAGCUAGAGUACGGUAGAGGGUAGUGGAAUUUCCUGUGUAGCGGUGAAAUGCGUAGAUAUAGGAAGGAACACCAGUGGCGAAGGCGACUACCUGGACUGAUACUGACACUGAGGUGCGAAAGCGUGGGGAGCAAACAGGAUUAGAAACCCCAGUAGUCC
rnacentral:rRNA from 1 species